GGUCUUGCCGGAGCAUCCCCAACUCUGAUUUAGACUUUUCUUAUAGGUCCCGAUGAUGGACGCGAUCCCCUCGACUCCAGCUUCUCCGGCAUUGAUGAAAUUCUGCACCAAUAGAAUUGGCGCUAGAGGAAGGGGCCUGUGUCUUCGCAGUACCCUUAUUCUUAAAGGACUGCUCAACGGGACUGUCUCCGAUCAUCUUCUCCGACAUCUUCUUCUCCUUCUCCUGCU
rnacentral:lncRNA from 1 species